GAUGAAGAACGUAGCGAAAUGCGAUAAGUAGUGUGAAUUGCAGAAUUCAGUGAAUCAUCGAAUCUUUGAACGCACAUUGCGCCCUUUGGUAUUCCUUAGGGCAUGCCUGUUCGGGCGUCAUUUCAACCCUCAAGCCCUGCUUGGUGUUGGGCGUUUGUCCUGCCUCCGCGCGGGACUCGCCUCAAAGACAUUGGCGGCCGGUUUCCCUUUGCAGGCCACGAGCGCAGCACAGCGAGCGCUCUACGUGGACGCGGGGUCGGCGCACCAGAAGCCCUCUUUCUCGAAUUUUGACCUCGGAUCAGGUAGGGAUACCCGCUGAACUUAAGCAUAUCAAUAAGCGGAGGA
rnacentral:misc_RNA from 1 species